CUGGUCACAGUGGUUCAGUUGCAUCGAAAACACGCAACCACUCUAUUAACAAAGAAUUGCUCCAGGAUAAAGAUGGGGUUGGACCCAAUAACUAUUAGGUGAGGGAUCCAAUGAUGACUUUGUACUUGCUCGUGAACAGUGGGUCUAACUUAACUAAGGAGUGUGGGCAAUAGCUGUUCGGUGAGCCCACUUGACUUAGAGACCAAGUCGCUGCAACAUGCUUAGAGAAGCAUCUGG
rnacentral:lncRNA from 1 species